GUAGGUGAACCUGCGGAAGGAUCAUUAUCGAGUUAGGGUCUUUGGCCCGAUCUCCAACCCUGUGCCUAACUACCAUGUUGCUUUGGCGGGCCCGUCUGUCACAGGCCGCCGGAGGUCCAGCACCUCUGGCCCGUGUCCGCCAGUAGCCUUCUCUAAACUCAAUGUAACUGUGCCGUCUAAGUACAAAUAUAAAUCGUUAAAACUUUCAACAACGGAUCUCUUGGUUCUG
rnacentral:misc_RNA from 1 species